rnacentral:rRNA from 1 species
AUUGAACGCUGGCGGCAUGCCUUACACAUGCAAGUCGAACGGCAGCACGGGAGCAAUCCUGGUGGCGAGUGGCGAACGGGUGAGUAAUGUAUCGGAACGUACCUUCAGUGGGGGAUAACGUAGCGAAAGUUACGCUAAUACCGCAUAUUCUGUGAGCAGGAAAGCAGGGGAUCGCAAGACCUUGCGCUGAUUGAGCGGCCGAUAUCAGAUUAGCUAGUUGGUGAGGUAAAGGCUCACCAAGGCGACGAUCUGUAGCGGGUCUGAGAGGAUGAUCCGCCACACUGGAACUGAGACACGGUCCAGACUCCUACGGGAGGCAGCAGUGGGGAAUUUUGGACAAUGGGCGCAAGCCUGAUCCAGCCAUGCCGCGUGAGUGAAGAAGGCCUUCGGGUUGUAAAGCUCUUUCAGCCGGGAAGAAAACGCAUGGGUUAAUACCCUGUGUGGAUGACGGUACCGGAAUAAGAAGCACCGGCUAACUACGUG